rfam:Hordeum vulgare subsp. vulgare, WGS project CAJW01000000 data, contig: morex_contig_1565162
AUUAUUCUCCCUCCGUCUCAAAAUUCUUGUCUUAGAUUUGUUUAGAUAUAGAUGUAUCUUGCCACGUUUUAGUAUUUAGAUAUUUUCAUUUUUAGACAAACUUAAGACAAGAAUUUUAAGACGGAGGGAGUAUAUG